GCCCCCCCCCCCAGUAUUCCCCCCCCCCAGUAUUUCCCCGAAACCGCCUCAGCUCAUCCCACCUGCCGGAGCCGGCCUCCGCACCGCGGCCUCCAGCCACCACCCUCAUCCCAGACAAUGAGCUGUGGAGAAGAGCAGGUGAAGGAGGGACUCUGGAAAAGCUGGAGCUCCGAACUAAGUAGAAACGGUCUUUUCUCAGAACAGAUGACUUCCGUCCAAGACUGAAUAGACAUGCUUCACUUGAACAUUGCCCUCUCCAGAACUUGACAGCUGCUGAAAGCUUCAGUCCAUCAGGUAAGUUAUGUAGGACUUUCGUAGCCAUUACCUGAGUACUACUCCUACUUACUGGCUAAAAU
rnacentral:lncRNA from 1 species